GGGGCCUGGAGAGCCUAAAACUCCCGCAAACCCCAUGUGAACAUACCAUACGUUGCCUCGGCAGGCCCCAGACGCGCCUAGCGCGCGCACCCCCAGGGGGGGCGCGGCUGGGACCUGCCGGCGGCCCAAGCAAACCCUGUCGUCACUGAAUUCUGAGCCCGCAUGUAGGAAAUUAAGUUAAAACUUUCAACAACGGAUCUCUUGGUUCUGGCAUCGAUGAAGAACGCAGCGAAAUGCGAUAAGUAAUGUGAAUUGCAGAAUUCAGUGAAUCAUCGAAUCUUUGAACGCACAUUGCGCCCGCCAGUAUUCUGGCGGGCAUGCCUGUUCGAGCGUCAUUUCAACCCCUUAAGCCCCUGUUGCUUAGCGUUGGGAGCCUACGGCCCGCCGUAGCUCCUCAAAGUUAGUGGCGGAGCCGGCCCGCACCCCAGGCGUAGUAGUUCAGUCAGCUCGCCCGCGGUCGGACCAGUCCCCUGCCGUAAAACACCCCAUUCUCGCAAGGUUGACCUCGGAUCAGGUAGGGAUACCCGCUGAACUUAAGCAUAUCAAUAAGCGGAGGAA
rnacentral:rRNA from 1 species